rnacentral:rRNA from 1 species
CAGUAGCCACGGUAAUACGUAGGUGGCAAGCGUUGUCCGGAAUUAUUGGGCGUAAAGGGCUCGCAGGCGGUUUCUUAAGCCUGAUGUGAAAGCCCCCGGCUCGACCGGGGAGGGUCAUUGGAAACUGGGAAACUUGAGUGCAGAAGAGGAGAGUGGAAUUCCACGUGUAGCGGUGAAAUGCGUAGAGAUGUGGAGGAACACCAGAGGCGAAGGCGACUCUCUGGUCUGUAACUGACGCUGAGGAGCGAAAGCGUGGGGAGCGAACAGGAUUAGAUACCCCAGUAGUCCCUGUCUCUUAUAC